rnacentral:lncRNA from 1 species
GUAUUUUCAGUCGGACUGGAAGCAGCAGUGAGUUAAAAAUGCACACCGACAUUGCCAGUUGGCAUAAUGUGUUGUGAUUCCAGCAGACAGCAAUGGGAAUGUAUGAAGUGAUGGUUGAGGUGAAGGACAGCGGAACUGCUUUUUCUUGCAGCAUGCAGUAUGCAAAAUGAUCCUUUUUAUUUUUAACUAAUUCCUUAAAGCAAAAGCUCUUCCCACCCACGAGUGUUGCCUAAUUGGGGGACAUGGAAAAUGAAUGAAGAAACAAUCCUCAAACAAGGAGUGUUUGCUGCUCCCAUUUCAGCACUAAUUAAUUACUGUUGUCAGUAAACUGAAAGUGUUCAUGGAAUUACAUUUUCCAGAGCCUUCACCUGGAUCUAAAGCUGGAUUUGAGGUAUGUUGCUCCAGGCUUCAAACGGUGGUGGGGCACAAUCACAGGCCAUGGGAGCUCCAGAUCCACAGCCCUUUGGUGUAAAGGACGAUGUGUGUCAGUGUUUGCUUGUGGUUCUGAAAUGAGACGCUUUCCUACUUCAAUUACAUUGUGGUGGCUCAAGCAUUACAAGAUAAGCCUCAAAUAGGAGUGUAGCCUUACCAGAAACGAAAGUAUGUGUUUGAGUUUCCAGAUUCAAUAGUCAUAUGUUGACACUUUGAACUACGAGCUGUUCCAUGUUUGGGGCUUGAUAGGCAGAAACUGAAAGAGGCAGAGAUUUGGUUCUGAAACACUCCCAACUCCCUCGUAGCCAUUUUCUGUUUGUUUUCUUUAAGCCCUGGUCCUCUGCUUUGCCACCUGUAAACCAUUCUUUUCCCCACCUUUAAGCCAUUCUGUGCUCCAGUCCAUAGGGGUGUAGUCCCACAGUAAAAGGUAUUGGAUGGGGAGUUCUUUCAUUCAUUGAUUUAUUCCACAAAUACAUGAGUAGCUCUUGGAUGCUGGGCUCUGUGCUAGGCA